GGCAAAUCUGUCAUUUAGCUCAAAGGGCAAAUCGUCUUUGAGCUGCAAAAGAGAUAUUUUCCCAUCUUUUUCUCAAUGUUUCCAGAAGACUCAAUCCCACUUUCCUUUCACAAUCAAUCGUACAGCUUUUCUUCUUUCUUCCUCAAGCUCUCAAACACCACUCCAAUCUUGGAUCCAAACUGCAACAAGAACACUAACUUCUCAAGAAGAGCUCUGUUCCUUUUUGCUUCAAAUUUUACCUAAUAAAAAUUUACAAGCAUAAGAAUGCGAACAAGCAAAAAGAGUCGAGUGGUGAUAUAACUAUUGUAUACAUUAAAGCAGAAGAUGAAAUCUUUCACGAGAUUUAUGUAACUGGUAAUUUUGCAUAAUGCCCCAAAAACCAGCAAGACACUACAGACCAGUGAGAUGUCUUCCUCUAAGUUUCUCCCCAUUAGCUCGUUCAAUGGCACAGAUUGCAUCAAAUAAGAAGGUUACACACAAGGUUCAAAACUCCAGAUUUCCAGAAAAUAAUCUACCUAGCUCUUCAGGUGGAACUAUGGUAAAUCAUGGACAAAUAAACAAAAGUGAAGAUUCUCGUUCUUCGGAUGGUGAAGAAUUUUAUGUAAGAAAUCCCAUUACUCCUUGCUGGUAAAUGAUGAAGAUGAUGGUAUUUACUUUAUUGUCACUACUCUUAACUUGGGGAGAUAUGAGGUGAGAAGCUAAUACUUGGUGUGCUACAUCCAUGUCAUGCAAUAAUUUUGUCACCAUGUUAUCCGGCCUGUGAUGUCGAAUCUGGCAUUAGAGUCCAGAGAUGCUUCUGAGUUUUCAUUUUAUUUGUCCAGUACUAAAUGCUUAUAGUUGAUUGUUGCUACUGUCGUACUCCUUGAGUUCUCGCAUAUUCAAUGUUUUUCUGGCUAUGAUUGUCCAAAAAUAGGAUCUAGAGUGUAUGGUGGAUCUUAAAGAGCCCCUGCUUAAAGCAUGCUGCCAGAAGGAUGUGGUCUCUAAAUUGAGGUUAUUUCUCAGAGACCAAGCCAAGGAUGUUGAUCUCUUCGUCUCUCAACGAGUUGUGAAUCUUCCUCCUUAGGUUUUACCACACCUUUAUGAUGCACUUUUUGAUGAAGUCUCUUGUGCUACAGAUGAUGAGAAAAGAAGGAAUCCAAUUUCAGCUGGAAAAAUAGAGUAGAACAUUGUCUAAGAUUUUGGUAGCACUUGCUGAUGCUAAAGAGAAGCAAAUCACUAAUAGAGCUGUGAAGUUGUGGCUUGAAGAUCUUAGGGACUUGGUUUAUGACUUGGAUGAUUUUCUUGAUUACCUUUCCAUUGAAAUAUUGCGGCUCAAAAUGAUGACAGAAUUUAAUUCCAACAAAAGUGAGGUACAGAAAUUAUUGAUCCCUACUUGUUGUACCAGUUUGACACCUCGUACUGUGAAGUUCAAGCAUAGUUAUAGUCCAUGCUAUGGAGAUUAACUCUAGAUGGAAAGCAUGUGGUUUUUGCAAAAGUAAUCAAAGGAAUGGGAGUUGUCCGUUCGAUUGAACAUGUGACUACUGGUGAUAAUAAUUGCCUAACAGUAGACGUCAAUAUCGUGGAUUGUGGAGAAAUUCUUGAGGGGAAUAAUGAUGGUACUGCAGACUUUUUCAAAGACAGAUCUAUAUCCUGAUUGGCCUACUGAUCUUGAGAAUAAUACUGAUGAUCUCCCUUGGUGGAACACGGAACUAGAGUCUAUUAAGGCAUUUGGUAAUGAAAAUUUUAAGAAAUAAGAUUACAAGAUGGCUCUUAGGAACUAUCGAAAAUCUCUGCGCUAUUUGAAUAUCUGUUGGGAGAAAGAAGGGAUAGAUGAAGAUAGGAGUGCAUAUUUGGGAAGGAUGAAAUCACAUAAUUUUUCCAACAGCUCUAUCAUUUAUGGAUAGUGGAGAGACUAAACAGCCUUUAAGCCAUUAUUGAAAAAAUCCAAGGGGGCUGCCAGCUUCACUGCCCAGGUCAUCAUCGUGAACCAUCCUGGACAGAUUGGAAAUGGAUAUGCACCAGUUCUCGACUGUCACACUUCCCACAUUGCUGUUAAGUUUGCUGAGAUUUUGACCAAGAUCGACCGGCGCUCGGAUAAGGAACUCGAGAAGGAACCUAAGUUCUUGAAGAAUGGUAAUGCUGGCAUGGUUAAGAUGAUUCCUACCAAGCCAAUGGUAGUUGAAACCUUUGUUGAAUACCCACCAUUGGGUUGUUUUGCUGUGAGAGACAUGAGGCAAACAGUUGCUAUCGGUGUUGUCAAGAAUGUUGACAAGAAGGACCCAACUGGUGCCAAGGUCACCAAGCUGCCCAGAAGAAGGGAAAGUGAACAGUGCAGUGUAAUCCUAGAGUUUGCAAUGCUUUCAAUUGUCAUAAAGUGUGUUAUAUAGACUCUAUUUUGUUUAGUUCUGCUAUAUUUUUAUCUGUGAUUUGCUUUCUAGGUUCUUUACAAAAAAACUAUUACCAAGAUGUAUCUGAAAGUCUUUUUGUAAUAUUUUAUCUAUUUCAUACAUGUGCAUGAAAAUGUCAUAUUCCCACCA